rnacentral:rRNA from 1 species
AGUUGGUGACUCAACGCAGUGGCAACACCUCUUCCCAUUCCGAACAGAGAAGUGAAACGCUGUAGUGCUGAUGAUACCGCCUUUGGCGGAAAAGUAGGUAGUCGCCAACUCU